GGGGAAUUUUGCGCAAUGGGCGAAAGCCUGACGCAGCGACGCCGCGUGAGGGAUGAAGGUCUUCGUGAUUGUAAACCUCUGUCAGGAAGGAUUAAAUGCAUGGGCGCCAAUACCGCUCAUGUUUGACUUAACUUCCAAAGGAAGCCCCGGCUAACUACGUGCCAGCAGCCGCGGUAAUACGUAGGGGGCAAGCGUUACUCGGAUUUACUGGGCGUAAAGCGAAUUAAGGCGGUCUUGUAAGUCAGAGGUGAAAUCCCUCAGCCUAACUGAGGAAUAGCCUUUGAUACUGCUUGACUAGAGGACAGGAGAGGAAAGUGGAAUUCCCGGUGUAGCGGUGGAAUGCGUAGAUAUCGGGAGGAACACCAGAGGCGAAGGCGGCUUUCUGGACUGGUCCUGACGCUGAUAUUCGAAAGCUAGGGGAGCAAAC
rnacentral:rRNA from 1 species